rnacentral:rRNA from 1 species
UUCCGGUUGAUCCUGCCGGAGGCGACCGCUAUCGGAGUUCGAUUAAGCCAUGCGAGUAGAAAGAAAUUAGAUUCUUUGCAUACUGCUCAGUAACACGUGGAUAACCUGCCCUACACUGGGGGAUAAUCUCGGGAAACUGAGCAUAAUACCCCAUAGACCACUACGCCUGGAACGGUGAGUGGUUGAAAGCUCAGGCGGUGUAGGAUGGGUCUGCGGCGUAUCAGGUCGUAGGGGGUGUAAUGGACCUCCCAGCCAUCGACGCGUACGGGUUGUGGGAGCAAUAGCCCGGAGACGGAUUCUGAGACACGAAUCCGGACCCUACGGGGUGCAGCAGGCGCGAAAACUUCACACUGCAGGAAACUGUGAUGAGGGAACUCCAAGUGACUGCACAAUGUGUAGCCUUUUCUUGAAUCUUAAUAGUUCUUGGAAUAAGGGCUGGGAAAGACCGGUGCCAGCCGCCGCGGUAAUACCGGCAGCUCAAGUGGUCGUCGCUUUUAUUGGGCCUAAAACGUCCGUAGCCUGUUUGGUAAAUCUGUGGGUAAAUCAACGAGCUUAACUCGUUGAAUUCUGCAGAGACUGCCAGACUAGGGACCGGGAGAGGUAUGAGGUACUCUGGGGGUAGGGGUAAAAUCCUGUCAUCCUCAGAGGACCACCUGUUGCGAAGGCGUCAUACUGGAACGGAUCCGACGGUCAGGGACGAAGCCUAGGGGCACGAACCGGAUUAGAUACCCGGGUAGUCCUAGGUGUAAACGCUGUGGAUUGGUGUGUGGGGUCCGCAAUGGGCCCCAUGUGCCGGAGUGAAGAUGUUAAAUCCACUGCCUGGGGAGUACGGUCGCAAGGCUGAAACUUAAAGGAAUUGGCGGGGCAGCAC